UUCUCUGUGGAGGUAUGCUUUUAUUUAUUUUGUGGGAGAACAAGGCGUUACAACUUAAUGGAAGUGACAUGGGAGGAUGGACUGUCGAUGCUGAGGUCUAUCCCUUUCCGAAAGAAGAAGACAAGUAAAGGGAAUUUAUUUUAUUCUAUUUCCGGGAUUUGUAUCUUUAAGAUUGUCUUCUAAUUAUUUCAGUCGCGUUCAGUUAGAAGUUAAAGGUUAUGACCCUUUACUUAGUGAAUCUGAUCUCAAGUGCGAGUUGAGUAAACUUUUCUCUUCAUGUGGGAAGGUUGAUCAUGCCAGGAUUUGCAAGAGCUUCUCUAUAGUGUAUCUAGUGGGAGAAGACGCAAUAGACAAAACUUAGUGGGACUGACAUGGGAGGGGGGCACAAGGUAAGUGUUCGGUUUGUUGCUUACCAGGGAAGAACCAUUGUCCACCCCCGCCGCGUCAUAGGCCGCAUCAUUUGUGGCCGCCCAAAUAGAAAACCAAAGAUGGCUGAAAACAAAGAAGAUGAGAAGCCAAAGAAGACAAGAAGCCAAAGUAGAUGGCUGCAAACAAAGAAGAUAAGAAGCCAAAGUAGAAGAAAGCUCGCAGACGAACCUCUUUGGUGUUUUUAACUUGUGCAACCUUCCUUUUAUAUUACUUGUUAUCAUCUGCCUUGGUUACCUAAUGCAUGAUGUUUAUGUCUGGAUGUUAAA